CCUUUCAAAACGUUAUCUCUACUGAACACAUUCCAUGGCUGUAAUCAUUAGUUCAACAAGUUGCAAAACGGAACAAUUUACAACUAAAACUAGAGUUUCUAUUGGACCAAUUCAGCUAGGUCCCUCCCCAUUUUCUUCCGUUUAAGAAACGUUUUGCAACCGAAUCGGCGUAUUGAAUUCGCACUAGGAUUACACUUCAGCCAUUCGACUAUUUUUUACGAUUUUCGCGGAAGUAUAGCGCCUGUGAUGUGGACAAAAUGAUCGGGGAUCUCUUGAUUAUUCGGGACCUUACUCAUGAACACUGGUGCUGUGUUAAACUUCAAACUGAAGAAAAAGUAGUCACAAGGACAAUUUGGAGAUGAACCUCGUGGACCAACUACAGGUGACAUACAUUACAUUUACAUUUAAGUCAUUUAGCAGACGCUCUUAUCCAGAGCGACUUACAAAAAGAGUGACAACAUCAGAGAGUUCCUCCAGAGUCUACGCUACUUCCGGAUUUUCAUUGCCUUAUGGAACAUAUUCAUGAUGUUUUGCAUGAUUCUAUUGUUUGGAUAGUGAUCAACUUCGUUUUUGGAUUGGGGGCCCCUGCACAAAAAAUAACUUUUUUGAGUUGAGAUUCAUAUCGGAUCCUGUGACCUGCGACCAUUAUGUGCAAUAUCGCAAUAUUUUUGCGCUAGUUAGUUGUACCUGCAUCAAAACUACAGUAUUUUAUCUUCAUAGCUUUUAGAAAUAGGGAGCCAAUUGGUUUUUCAGCCCAUUUAUUUCCAUGACUGACCUAAACUGCUUCUCAUGGUUCUCUCGUCACACUGCAGCGGAUAUAUGGUUAGCAAUAUGUUUGGAACAUCGAAUCGCAAUAGAUAUUGUAUCGGCAUCUAAGUAUUGUGAUAAUAUCGUAUCAUGAGGUCCCUGGCAAUUACCAGCCCUAUUGCUGACCUGUUAUCUAUAGUCCUCAUUUUCUUCUGAAACUUGUGAACAGAAUGAGAACCAUUUGACAUGUUUGACGUUUGUCUUACUAAGGCCUUCUGAUGUUAAGAGCAUUCAGACUUCAUUUUAUCAUUGCUUUGUUGCAUACUUUUGUCUAUGAUCUAGUUUUGUAUAAUAAAACUUUACUCUAA